rnacentral:rRNA from 1 species
CCCAAUUUCGAUUGACUAAGCCAUGCGAGUCUUUGUAGUAUACAAGGCAGACGGCUCAGUAACGCGUAGUCCAUCUACCCUAUGGACGGGGAUAACCUCGGGAAACUGAGAAUCACAUACCCGAUAGAACAUUAUGCCUGGAAUGGUUUAUGUUCCAAAUGAUUUAUCGCCGUAGGAUGGGACUGCGGCCUAUCAGUUUGUUGGUGAGGUAAUGGCCCACCAAGACUAUUACAGGUACGGGCUCUGAGAGGAGUGGCCCGGAGAUGGGUACUGAGACACGGACCCAGGCCCUAUGGGGCGCAGCAGGCGAGAAAACUUUGCAAUGUGCGAAAGCACGACAAGGUUAAUCCGAGUGGUUUCUGCUAAAGAGACCUUUUGUCGGUCCUAGAAACACCGAUGAAUAAGGGGUGGGCAAGUUCUGGUGUCGGCCGCCGCGGUAAAACCAGCACCUCAAGUGGUCAGGAUGAUUAUUGGGCCUAAAGCAUCCGUAGCCGGCUCUGUUAGUUUUCGGUUAAAUCUGUACGCUCAACGUACAGGCUGCCGGGAAUACUGCAAAGCUAGGGAGUGGGAGAGGUAGACGGUACUCGGUAAGAAGGGGUAAAAUCCUUUGAUCUAUUGAUGAACACCUGUGGCGAAAGCGGUCUACCAGAACACGUCCGACAGUGAGGGAUGAAAGGUGGGGGAGCAAACCGGAUUAAAUACCCGGGGUAGUUCCCGUUGUAAACUACGCAAACUCAAUGAUGCAUUGGCUUCGUGGCCAAUGCAAGGCUUGCAGGAAAGCCCGAUAAGUUUUGCGCCCUGGGGAAGUACUUU